rnacentral:rRNA from 1 species
GUGUCAGCAGCCGCGGUAAUACAGAGAGUGCAAACGUUGUUCGGAAUCACUGGGCAUAAAGCGCACGUAGGCGGCCUUUCAAGUGUGGAGUGAAAUCCCACGGCUCACCCGUGGAACUGCUUCGCAUACUGUUUGGCUCGAGGAUGGUAGAGGAGAGCGGAACUCCUGGUGGAGCGGUGAAAUGCGUAGAUAUCAGGAGGAACACCGGUGGCGAAGGCGGCUCUCUGGUCCAUUUCUGACGCUGAGGUGCGAAAGCUAGGGUAGCGAACGGGAUUAGAAACCCGCGUAGUCC